UAGGGAAUCUUCCACAAUGGACGCAAGUCUGAUGGAGCAACGCCGCGUGAGUGAAGAAGGUUUUCGGAUCGUAAAGCUCUGUUGUUGGUGAAGAAGGAUAGAGGUAGUAACUGGCCUUUAUUUGACGGUAAUCAACCAGAAAGUCACGGCUAACUACGUGCCAGCAGCCGCGGUAAUACGUAGGUGGCAAGCGUUGUCCGGAUUUAUUGGGCGUAAAGCGAGCGCAGGCGGAAGAAUAAGUCUGAUGUGAAAGCCCUCGGCUUAACCGAGGAACUGCAUCGGAAACUGUUUUUCUUGAGUGCAGAAGAGGAGAGUGGAACUCCAUGUGUAGCGGUGGAAUGCGUAGAUAUAUGGAAGAACACCAGUGGCGAAGGCGACUCUCUGGUCAGCAACUGACGCUGAGGCUCGAAAGCAUGGGUAGCGAACAGG
rnacentral:rRNA from 1 species